rnacentral:rRNA from 1 species
UCCUUGGAACAGGACGUCAUAGAGGGUGAGAAUCCCGUAUGUGACUGGCUGCCACGCCCGUGUGAAGCUCCUUCGACGAGUCGAGUUGUUUGGGAAUGCAGCUCAAAAUGGGUGGUAAAUUUCAUCUAAAGCUAAAUAUUGGCCAGAGACCGAUAGCGCACAAGUAGAGUGAUCGAAAGAUGAAAAGCACUUUGGAAAGAGAGUCAAACAGUACGUGAAAUUGUUGAAAGGGAAGCGCUUGCAACCAGACUUGCCCGCGGGUGAUCAGCCGGUAUUUUUACCGGUGCACUCGCCCGUGGUCAGGCCAGCAUCGGUUUGGGUGGCUGGAUAAAGUCCACUGGAAUGUAGCUCCUCUCGGGGAGUGUUAUAGCCAGAGGUGCCAUGCAGCCCGCCCGGACCGAGGACCGCGCUUCGGCUAGGAUGCUGGCGUAAUGGUUGUAAGCGACCCGUCUUGAAACACGGACCAAGGAGUCUAACAUCUAUGCGAGUGUUUGGGUGUCAAACCCAUGCGCGUAAUGAAAGUGAACGGAGGUGGGAACCCUCAAGGGUGCACCAUCGACCGAUCCUGAUGUCUUCGGAUGGAUUUGAGUAAGAGCAUAGCUGUUGGGACCCGAAAGAUGGUGAACUAUGCCUGAAUAGGGUGAAGCCAGAGGAAACUCUGGUGGAGGCUCGCAGCGGUUCUGACGUGCAAAUCGAUCGUCAAAUUUGGGUAU